rnacentral:rRNA from 1 species
CCUACGGGAGGCAGCAGUAAGGAAUAUUGGUCAAUGGAGGCAACUCUGAACCAGCCAUGCCGCGUGCAGGAAGACAGCCCUAUGGGUCGUAAACUGCUUUUAUACGGGAAUAAACUUUGAUUCGUGAAUCAAGCUGAAUGUACCGUAAGAAUAAGGAUCGGCUAACUCCGUGCCAGCAGCCGCGGUAAUACGGAGGAUCCAAGCGUUAUCCGGAUUUAUUGGGUUUAAAGGGAGCGUAGGCGGCCUAUUAAGUCAGGGGUGAAAGACGGUGGCUCAACCAUCGCAGUGCCUUUGAUACUGAUGGGCUUGAAUAUAGUUGAGGUAGGCGGAAUGUGACAAGUAGCGGUGAAAUGCAUAGAUAUGUCACAGAACACCGAUUGCGAAGGCAGCUUACUAAGCUAUGAUUGACGCUGAGGCUCGAAAGCGUGGGGAUCAAACAGGAUUAGAUACCCUGGUAGUCCACGCCCUAAACGAUGAUAACUCGAUGUUGGCGAUAUACAGUCAGCGUCACGACGAAGACGUUAAGUUAUCACCGCGGAGGACGCCCGCGAGGAGAACGUACGAAGAGAGUAGACGCGUAGAGACGNGACGACGGACGACGACGAGGGAGGAGG